CACUAAGAAGCUUACAUAGCAUCAGCCUUUUAAGUUGAAGAAGGAAACCAUUUCCUUAGUGA
rnacentral:tRNA from 1 species